UACGGGGGGGGCAAGCGUUGUUCGGAAUUACUGGGCGUAAAGGGCUCGUAGGCGGCCAACUAAGUCAGACGUGAAAUCCCCAGGCUCAACCUGGGAACUGCGUCUGAUACUGAAUGGCUUGAAUCCGGGAGAGGGAUGCGGAAUUCCAGGUGUAGCGGUGAAAUGCGUAGAUAUCUGGAGGAACACCGGUGGCGAAGGCGGCAUCCUGGACCGGUAUUGACGCUGAGGAGCGAAAGCCAGGGGAGCAAACGG
rnacentral:rRNA from 1 species